AUGGAGCAGGGGGAUCCCGAGGAGCCAUUUAAUCAUCGGAUCUACUUCCUUGCCGCCAUGCUUGAUCCCCAGUUUGGUUUGAGCUGGGUAGAUUUAGAUGUCCAUAAUAGGGAAUCCGGUCCAGCACUGAAGAGGUUCAGAGACGACCUUAAGAAAUCAUUAACAGACCUUUUGAUCAGAGAGUUAGACCAGGAUGCAACUGCUGCACCUCUAGCAGAAGAUGCAGAAGAUGCAGGAGAAUUGUGCCGUGACUCACCGCCACCCCUGAAACAACAGCGUCUUCUUUCACACUACAAUGCGUCUAAGAUGCAGCACAGCACAACCCGGGACUCGAGCAUUACUGCACAAAUAAGCAAGUACCUGGACAACAUGAAUGACUAUGACUGUGAUGCACUGACCUUUUGGUCAAAAACCAAGAGCAUUUCCCUCAACUACACAAUGUCGCCUUAAAAGUCCUCUCCGUCCCUGCCUCUUCUGCCCCAGUAGAGAGAGUUUUUAGCAGAAGAGGCAUUCUAAUGAGACCCCACAGAGCACGGCUAGGCCAUAAGAAGCUGCAGUGUUUAGUGUUCUUGAAGUGCAAUCAACGACAGCUUUAACAUGUGAACUCACAUACAUCAAGUAAACACACUCAUACUACUGACAUGCUUACACUCCCCAGCACACACUCACAAAACUACAGACACACAAAUGGUUUCACACAGAAAGCUACAAAAAAGACACAUACACAGAGGACACACUCACUCAACACACAAAUGGGUGCAUGAUACAGUAUGCCUUUCGUUCUACAGUUUUAAUGUAUUAGUUUAUGUAUCUGUUCUUUGUUUGUGAUGUCUGUGUUCUAUUGUUCUUGUCCCACUGAACUACAGGCUUCAUAUAUAUAAGUGUGUUAUAAUUGAGAUGCCAUUACACACAUCAAGGUGACAGAAUCUUGUGAUCACUAGUUCUUCCUCUUGCUAAUGUACAAUUUGAAGUACAGUUUUGUAAACUAUUUGUAUUUUGCAUUUGAUUUAAUGCAUUUUUUGGUGCACCUGCGUGUGUGUCUAUGUAUUUAAUUACAGUAUUGUGCUUAUAAUGGCCUUGUUUGAAUAAAUAUAUGGCAUCAUUGGCCUUUGAAUAAUAUAUGCUUAUCGUUGUGAUUGAUUUAGCAUUAGGCCUAUGCCAUUUCAGUGAUGCUGAUAUUAUACAGUGUAAUUUGGCUACUAUAAUGGGA
rnacentral:lncRNA from 1 species